GGUAAAAUGGCUGAGUAAGCAUAAGACUGUAAAUCUAAAGACAGAGGUCAAGGUCUCUUUUUACCA
rnacentral:tRNA from 1 species